rnacentral:lncRNA from 1 species
GAAGAAAGCAGACACACAGGCACGCGCGGCCAGAGACCAGAUGUCUUGAAAAGGGAGCGACUAAGCUAGCUUUGGGUACACUGGGCCAGCUCAAAACCGGCUGGCCGGUACGACCCAGGCACGCGUGAUAAAGGAUUUAGAGGCCAGGCCGGCGCAACCUUCCCCACAAACUCGGUCUCCCGCCCACCACCGCUGCCUGCCACCAGGGGGCACUCCCCGACCCAAGCAACGGAGAGUCACAGCUCAGAUCAGACAGGCCUGCACCUGGGCUCUUGCACCAGAGUUCGGAAACUGCCAAGUGACUCUGCUGGAGUUGGACAUGAAUAUAAUCCAGUACGUGGAGGCAGAAAGAGGAAGGAAGAUCAAGAGUUCAAGGAGGCUUGAGAGUGGGGGCAGAAGAAGAGAGAAGAGGCAAGAGAGGAGGAGAGAAGACAGAAGAGGAGGAAGCCUCCAUGGACCUGAACCACAUGGCCAGGAGAAACAGUGUUGACGCCUCAGUCCCCAGUUCCUCGAGUGAGUCUCCGAGUUCCUGCACAACCCUACCCUAAUAACUCCACUUCGGAUCUUUGAGAUGGAAUUUUUUUCUUUUUUAAGUGUUUCUUGGGUCUCCCCUGUAAUUCGCGCCAAGGGAGCCUUGUCAUGGCCGCCUGCUAGGAGAGUGUGUAGGCUGCUGAAACGGUCCUCAGCUCUGUGGACGCAAGGCAGAGUGGACCUCAGAACUUAGAAGUUCAGACCAGCGCCGUUUUCCCACCUAUCCGAUCGGAUCGGAUCGAUAAGGGCUUCUUAGCGUCGGUGAAACCACCUGGAGAUGCGAUUUACCGCGGUGGUUUGAACCUUCCGACACCUCACCUCGGAACCCAGGAGCGCGCUAGCUCUCGCUGUGGGUAGCCGAGGUGGCCACGGUCCGACUU